rnacentral:tRNA from 1 species
UGGCUUUGUGGCAGAGUGCUUGCCUGACAUGCAUGAGGCCUUGGGUUCAAUCCCCAA